rnacentral:lncRNA from 7 species
GCAAAAAAUUGGCAGAGAAAAUAUCUAGACUUAUUUAUAGCAAUGCCUUAUGACAGAUUUGAGUGAAACUGAAUCCAAGCCAGAGAACUGGGACCCCUGUUUUAUUGGGCAAUUGUGGCCUCUAAGACUUGGGAUGGUACGGAAUAUCUAUAGUUGACUGCAAUGCAUCUGGUGCUUACAAAUCCAAGCCAGGCCAGCUGGAUUAGGAUCAACAAAUGUAGGGAAUUUUCUUGAUCGAAAGAAGAUACCACACCAACUGGGAAUCUCCUCUAUUGAUGGUCCUCCUGAUUAUGGAUUUUUCUUUUAGGUGUUGGAAGAACCAAUUGAAGGUUCUCAUGGAGAAAAAGACAGAUUUUGCACAAGAGGUGAGAUUUCUGACCUCUCUAGAAGGCCUAAGGGUGUCUCUUCUUGUAGGCUUGGGAAGAUGUCCCAGCCUUGAUCACAGAAAUCCCCAAGAAGCAGAACAGCAACAGGAAGAAGAGAAGAAAGAAGCACAAGUUUAUUCAAAACUCAAAAAAGCUCAGAUCUGCCUUGUAAAAGUACUUAAAAUAUGGCCAUCUCCAGCUCCCAAAAUGGUGUUUUUUUACAUCUAAGCUUGUCUUAAAUCUUUCUAGAGAUCAAUUGGAAACAGGGUAGAUACUCCCUUUUGUCUGCAACCUAUGCUAGAAACAGGAACACGCUUCUGAAGGUCACGUCCUCUGUACAGUGACAUAUUUCAGCAUAGUAGAAGAAAAAUGGAGAGUCUAUUUUCAGAACUAUGUAUAAUACACAAAAUACAAGCAAAUCUUCCUUUUAAACAAAUGAAAUAAUUGUGUGUAUGAAAUAACGGGAUUGUGAUGUGUGAUUGCCCAGAAGAAAUCCUGAAUCUGCACCUUUGAUAACCUGAAUUUGUACCUGCGACAUACAUUAAAGUUAUGAUUUUUUUCAUGUGU